rnacentral:rRNA from 1 species
UACGGAGGGGGCUAGCGUUGUUCGGAAUUACUGGGCGUAAAGCGCACGUAGGCGGCUUUGUAAGUUAGAGGUGAAAGCCCGGGGCUCAACUCCGGAAUUGCCUUUAAGACUGCAUCGCUUGAAUCCGGGAGAGGUGAGUGGAAUUCCGAGUGUAGAGGUGAAAUUCGUAGAUAUUCGGAAGAACACCAAUGGCGAAGGCAGCUCUCUGGGACGGUACUGACGCUGAGACGCGAAAGCGUGGGGAGCGAACAGG